ACAAUAAAGAUCCCAUUGCCAUCACCAAAAUAACAUUUGAUUCCAGUUGUGAAGAAGGGUUUCUAUUAAUGGUUCAUACGUUAUGAAAAUAAAGAAAGAUCCUCGGUAACAGCUCUUUAAUUUCUGAUAAUUAAUCCUGGACACUAUAUAAACCUGGAAAGAUGUUAUCUUCCGAAGGUUCUCAGUUUUUUUCUGAACCAUACACCGUCAAGAUUACUGUUAAUGAUGGACAUAUUUCAGAUGGUAUAGGAUAUAUAGAGAAAAGAAGCAGCACCCAUCUCUGGUGGUAAAUAGGAUUACGUUUUGGCAAAGAGAGAAAAGAGGCAGCACCCAUCUCAGUUUUGGCAAAGAGAAAAACUUUUCAGUUAAUUUUAGGUAAUAUCAUUCCAGUUUUUAGUAGUGGAGGCUGGAGGGGAUUUUAGAUUAUAUGCAAUAAUCACUUAGGUGAGUACACUUUUUAGUGGGAAAUUUUAUACAAAAAGUCAGUUGUGGUUAACUCCGUUUCUGAAAAGUGCCGCAGGUAAACCAUAUAUACAGAUAAAUUGAACGUCAUAUGGUUAUUUUUAUUUUAAGAAACUUUUGUUAUGUGAUUUAUCCCGAUAACGUCCCAUGAUAUGCUCAAUAAAUAUUCUGACAUAAUUCAUUUUUAUAAAAUAACUUAUUCAAUUGGGAAUAAUACGUACAGAUGUGUGUUGAGAUUAUUAGUCUCACAUUGUUGGACAAUCUAAGAUCUUGCGGCUUAUAAUUCCUUAGGGCCUCUCCACUCAUUGCCAAUUGGUUUUGAGUUGGAUGCCCGUAUUCUAACAUGGUAUCAGAGCAGGCUAUUUGCAACGAGUCUAUGACCGCACCUUUACUCCGCGUCACCCGAUUAAAUUGUCCACGUGUUAGACCCAACGAGACUACACGUGAGGGGGCGUGUUGAGAUUAUUAGUCUCACAUUGUUGGGCAAUCUAAGAUCCUGCGGCUUAUGACCCCUUAGGUCCUCUUCACUCAUUGCCAAUUGGUUUUGAGUUGGAUGUCCGUAUUCUAACAAUGUGUUCAAAGUCCAAUGGUAAUAUCAUAUGAUUUGCAUACUUUGAAGUCCGGAAGUUUACUUUCCAUCGCCACUUUUUAAACAUUUAAAAAAGUGAAUUGUUUCGGUCGACUUCGAAUUCAGGAACCCUUGCUUCUUAAGUGUUGAUAAGUGGAAUUGAUUACCACGUAGAAUAAUUAGAUUACUUUGAAUUUUUCCUCAUGUUCUGUUUUUCAACCAGUGAGCUCUGCCGGCUUUCUCAUUGUAUCAUCAACCAGCAGUGAAAACUAAAACUUUAAUGUAGUCUUAUUGUGUCUUUUAUGGUCGCAAAACUUGAUUGUAUGACAUCCCUGCUAUGAUUGAUGGCGAGACUGUUAAUGUUAGUCUUUACCAUUUGAGAUAACUUUGUUUGCUAAAGAGAGGCAACGUUAGUGGCAUCGCCAGCAAUCAUAGUGUUGUAUAAAAUGAGCUGCUAUAGGGAAACAACAACCAGUGGGAAGUGCAGGCUCCUGCAUCGGAUCAUCACCCAGCAUGGGAAACUGAAAAGUAACAAACCACUACCAGCACUACCUCCUUCCCUAUUUUGCUUACCGGUCAUUUUUAGGGCAAGGAAGUUAAAAUUUCCGGUAAAGCAAAUGAAAUCCAGGUUGGUCAUAAUCCAAGUUUGAGGAUAUGGUGAUUACUCUAUUUGCUUUGCGCAGUAUGAUACCCUGGGCUAUCACCUUUAUAAAUGGAUAGGCUAUGCAGUAGUCUUACCAUGAAGGCAUGAAGUAACUGCAUCAUCCAUCAUGUGACCAAGAGACCGUGACAGGUGUAAGUGGCUCAGUACACAAAGCCAUUAUCAAUUGUUGAUCGAAUUCUUGGUGUUUAAGAAAAACAUGGAAAUCAUCAGGAAGCAAACGCCUCCGUGGUUCUGUGGAUGAAGAAGUUGAAUGGAGUUCAGUGUCCUUCAUUUAUUAUUCAUAACAUUUCCAUUAACAAUUUAUUUUCCAGAAUAACGUUUUGGUUUGGAUUAGCGAGAGAUAGGUCUGUAAUUUCGUUAAGUUUUUCUCCCGUUCGUUCCUUUUAUCAAUUUGAGUGUUGGUUUUCAUA